rnacentral:rRNA from 1 species
GACGAACGCUGGCGGUGUGCUUCACACAUGCAAGUCGAACGAGGUAGCAAUACCUAGUGGCGGACGGGUGAGUAACGCGUGGAAUCUGCCUUUAGAUGGGGGAUAACGAGCCGAAAGGUUCGCUAAUACCGCAUAUGCCGUAAGGUGAAAGGAGUAAUCCGUCUAGAGAUGAGCCCGCGUCCGAUUAGCUAGUUGGUAGGGUAAAGGCCUACCAAGGCGACGAUCGGUAGCUGGUCUGAGAGGAUGAUCAGCCACAAUGGGACUGAGACACGGCCCAUACUCCUACGGGAGGCAGCAGUGGGAAUUUUACGCAAUGGGGGAAACCCUGACGUAGCGACACCGCGUGAGCGAAGAAGCCCCUUGGGGUGUAAAGCUCUGUCGGCUGGAACGAAAAAAAUGACGGUACCAGCAAAGGAAGCAUCGGCUAACUACGUGCCAGCCGCCGCCGUAA